CUGCAGAAACGUGUGGAUCAUGCGCAAGAACCAGUUUCAUAAUCGUGCAGACACUUGAAAAUCAAAAGUGAUUUAAAUACGUAUGAUCGUAUAUUAGAUUGAUUUCUGAUAAUUAAAUUUGUGAAUUUUUAAGAUGAUACUUUAAUCUUGAAUGGAGAAAUUAUGAUAAUUUAAAAAAGGAAGUUUUAUUUCUGAUGGAUUGAAAUAAGAAAGAUAUAAAAUAAUUGAGUGAAAAAGUUACAGCGUUUCCAACAUCAAAGGGCACCGAAGAUCCUCUACAACUAACACAACGUGUUCAAUAGCGACUCACCCGUCAAUUUGCAUGGUUGCGUUCACCAGAGAUGUUUUCUUCGGAUUGUCUCCAGCUCGACGAUGCCUUUGGAUAGCCAGAACACCGGCACGACGACGAAGGAAGAUCAACGACAUCCCUCUCAACAAGUUUUUUUAGAUUAAUCUCGAUAACCAACUCCGCCCAACUGGAGAUCCAGUAUGGAUGGAUGUUCUGCUAAGUUCGAAAAGGCGGAUCUCUUUCCGCUUGAGGGCAACGAUCGUCUCCCCAUGCGACAUCAGCCUUUGAAUCGCGUUGAUAGUAAUUGAGACGUACGCGUCCUUGGGUUGGGACGUGAUGCCGCCGUGGGCAUUAUUCGAAACGAGAACACGCGGCUUUCUUAAUUAAGACCUAAUGGCGGCUUUGGCCUCUGUUAUCUCGCGCCAACGAUCUGAAGAAUUGAUUUCUUCAAGGAGGCUGGUCCAGCUGCUAUCGCGCCUAUCACUGUUAAAUCUUGCUUCUUUUUAGAAAUGGCGUAUGUACGUACUGUGGAGGAACGUUGUAUCUGUAAUUGGUCUCGCUAGGUUGGAUACUUCUUCGGCGUCAACCGACGUGUCGCAGGAUAUACAGAAGAUCAGUGGAUAAACUCGUACAGUUUUAGACAAAUGAAAAUAGUGUAUUCGAUAAAAUUGAAAUUAUGAAUUUCAAGUUAUAAUUGUAAGAUGAUCAAUUGGAUAUAGUUAAGAUGAUUUGAGAGUAUAGAAAUUUGAGGAAAAUUGGAUUGGAACAAUUCUGAAGUUUCAGAAAUGGCAUAUUAUUGUAUCCCUUAUUGAACAUAUUUUUCGAAUCAUUAUCGCAAGGUACACAGGAUAAAAAUCCCAAACCAAACUGGAAGCAAUCAGUUCCAUGAAAGGUUUUCUUAACGAUUGAUAAUGGAGACAUUAUUCAUGGGUCUGAAAUGCAAAAGUAUCUCAUAAAUACAAAUUUCAACUGACUACUUCGAUGACAUGGAUAUCCUUGGCAAUUGAUGAAACUUUUAGAUCAGUAUUUCCAACCUUCUUCGAAUCAUUAUUCUUUUCAAAUGAAAAUAUUCUCCAUGUUCUGAAAGCAUUCAUACCACAUAGUUGGUCAACAAGUCGAUGAAAAUGCAAAAAAUAACUAUUGAAAAUAUUCGUCAGAUGGCGCAACAGUCACCAACGCAAACAAUGUCAUAUAAUACCCACGUCAUUCGAUAAAAUGCUAAUUCUAUGGAGAUAUGAUAAUUUUUCUUUAAAUUUGCAACAGUCCAAUAAAAAUCGAAUAAAGGAGAAACAAGGUAAAAUUUUUUUACUGAUGUAAAAUCCAAACAAAUGAAGGAACGUAGCAGCUGCAAGCUGAAAAUGCACGACGAAAGAUCCGCACUUUUUCCUGGUCGACGCACACGCGCACCCAGCUUGUUGCGGCUGUUAUUUAUGGCCGAGCGGUUUAUUGAAAGUGAGAACACGAUUGUUACCAUGAAAACGUUUCGUUGGCGCAUGCGCAAACGGCCGGACAUCCGUGUGUAAGGUCUGCGUUAUUGCUUUAUGGGAGCCUCGAUUUCUCGUAUUCGAAAUCCGGUAUAAUGGAAUCUGACCACUUUCCACGACAAAUCUAUAGAUCUGGUUGGGACGAUCUUUUCUCCUUUGGAAAGAAAUUCUGAUUAUUCAUGUACCGUUUAAGUCGAUUGAGUUUUUGAUUUUUAUAGUGUUGCCGAUCAAGAUUCUUGGGUUUUGGACGACGCGAUAUUGGUAUGUUGGAUCGAAGAAUUUGAAAUUCGCGCCAAUCACUAGCGAUAAGAAUGACUUCUGAGAUAGAGAUUGCAUUUUUUAAAAAGAUUAUUUGAAUUGGAGAUUUUUAUUGGAAAUACUUAAAAAAAAAUUCUUAUGGUAUAAGAAUUAAUAUAUUUUUUAUGUUUCUAAAAUAUUGCCCAACACACAACACGAGAUAACUCCUUCAAGUAAGCUAGGCUAUAAUCUUGAAACGAUUACAAAAGGAAAAUAAUUUUAUGAGGCAAAAUUAGAUGGUUUCACAAUGGAUUCUGCAUAUGCCACUAUUAUGCAUUUCGUGCAUCUACGUAGUUGCAAAGUGCAAUUGCACUUAUUUUGAAUGGAAUCUCCAUACAUUUCAGUGGAAGUUCCUUUGCCAAGAGUAGCAAGGGGAAAUCUUCAAGUGCAACAAUAAUUAUUACCUGAAAUGAAAAUACAUUUUACAUGUAAAAUAGCAUUGAAAAUUAUUCAUAUUAAAUUGACUUAUAUAUAUCCAAAUAUAUUUAUAUCAAUAAUUCAAAUUAUUAAACCAACGAAACAUUUCAGCAUAAAUAAACCAA